UUGAGAGGAAGAAGAUGAAAAGGUGGAAUGUUGUUACAUCGGAGAAAAGCUUCAACAUACAACGUGUCUUUUAAUUUGAUUUUUAAUAUCAACCAUUAGAUUUGUUACCGCCACAUGUCACAUAUCUGUACAUUAAAAAGGAGUAAAUGAAGGAGACUUAAAUGGAGCAAAGAUAAACUCUUUUUUUGGGGGUGGUGGUGUAUUACCAUGUUUUUCUCAAUGUUGAUAAUUGUAUUGAUGUCAUGGCUAUUUUGUAUUGUUCAAACAUUAUUAAUUAUUCGAAUACCAAAUUCAAUAUUCUAAAAUAGCGACAUGUAAAUAUCACACAAAAUACUUUGUAGCAUUUUUUCU
rnacentral:lncRNA from 1 species